GCGAUCGUAGCUCAGUUGGUAGAGCACUUGACUUUUAAUCAAGGGGUUUUCGUGGGUUCGAGCCCCAUCGAUCACACCA
rnacentral:tRNA from 1 species